UACGUAGGGUGCAAGCGUUAAUCGGAAUUACUGGGCGUAAAGAGUGCGUAGGCGGCUAUGUAAGACAGAUGUGAAAUCCCUGGGCUUAACCUAGGAACUGCAUUUGUGACUGCAUGGCUAGAGUGUGGUAGAGGGAGAUGGAAUUCCGCAUGUAGCAGUGAAAUGCGUAGAUAUGCGGAGGAACACCAAUGGCGAAGGCGGCAUCCUGGACCAAAUCUGACGCUGAGGAGCGAAAGCCAGGGGAGCAAACGGG
rnacentral:rRNA from 1 species